rnacentral:lncRNA from 1 species
AAAAAAAUAAAAAAAGCAAAAAAUAAAAAAUAAAAAUAAGGUGGAAAACCAAAAACCACCUAUCCCCUAGGAAAAAAAAAGUUGGAAAAUCACGCUUUAAGGUGUUGUACCUAGAAAUUCAUGGAAAAUCAAUUCCCUGAAAAAUUUUGUCAAUCAAACAGGCCAAAAGUGGAAGUUGGAAUUCGAAUUCCAAGUUCCAUGGAAAAUUUCGUGUAAUCAAACGGGGCCUAAAUUCAAAUGAGUGGACACUUUUCAACUCAUACCCUUAAAAUUGGACAUUCUUAAAAAUGCUCCUAAAUUUAAAUAUCA